GAUGAACGCUGACAGAAUGCUUAACACAUGCAAGUCAACUGUGGCGGACGGGUGAGUAACGCGUAAAGAACUUGCCUCACGGAUAGGGACAACAUUUGGAAACGAAUGCUAAUACCUGAUACUGUGAGAGAGCUUUGCGUCCCAUUAGCUAGCUGGAGAGGUAACGGCUCACCAAGGCGCUGAUGGGUAGCCGGCCUGAAAGGGUGAUCGGCCACAAGGGGACUGAGACACGGCCCUUAUUCCUACGGGAGGCAGCAGUGGGGAAUAUUGGACAAUGGACCAAAGUCUGAUCCAGCAAUUCUGUGUGCACGAUGAAGUUUUCGGAAUGUAAAGUGCUUUCAGUUGGGAAGCGGUACCAACAGAAGAAAUGACGGCUAAAGACGUGCCAGCAGCCGCGGUAAUAC
rnacentral:rRNA from 1 species